AUGGGUUUUUGCCUAAAUGGGCGAGCAGGCAUGUUUGUUCGUUUGCUCUAGGAUGGGACUGCGGCCGAUCAGGUUGUUGGUGGGGUAAUGGCUCACCAAGCCUAUAACCGGUACGGGCUUUGAGAGAAGGAGCCCGGAGAUGGACACUGAGAUAAGGGUCCAGGCCCUACGGGGCGCAGCAGGCGCGAGAACUUCGCAAUGCGCGAAAGCGCGACGAGGCUACUCUGAGUGUCAUCCGCUGAGGAUGACUUUUACUAGGUUUAAAACGCCUGGGGAAUAAGGGGAGGGCAAGUCUGGUGUCAGCCGCCGCGGUAAUACCAGCUCCUCGAGUGGUUGGGGUGUUUAUUGGGCCUAAAGCAUCCGUAGCCGGUUCUGUAGGUCCUCCGUUAAAUUCAACGGCUCAACCGUUGAGCUGCGGGGGAUACCACAGGACUAGGAGGCGGGAGAGGCGGAUGGUACUCCGUGGGUAGGGGUAAAAUCCUUUGAUCCACGGAAGACCACCAGUGGCGAAGGCGGUCUGCCAGAACGCGCUCGACGGUGAGGGAUGAAAGCUGGGGGAGCGAACCGGAUUAGAUACCCGGGUAGUCCCAGCUGUAAACGAUGCAAGCUAGGUGACGGAGUGGCUACGCGCCAUUCCGGUGCCGCAGGGAAGCCGUUA
rnacentral:rRNA from 1 species